GUAGGUGGCAAGCGUUGUCCGGAAUUAUUGGGCGUAAAGCGCGCGCAGGCGGUUCUUUAAGUCUGGUGUGAAAGCCCACGGCUCAACCGUGGAGGGUCAUUGGAAACUGGAGAACUUGAGUACAGAAGAGGAAAGCGGAAUUCCACGUGUAGCGGUGAAAUGCGUAGAGAUGUGGAGGAACACCAGUGGCGAAGGCGGCUUUCUGGUCUGUAACUGACGCUGAGGCGCGAAAGCGUGGGGAGCAAACAGGAUUAGAUACCCUGGUAGUCCACGCCGUAAACGAUGAGUGCUAAGUGUUAGGGGGUUUCCCGCCCCCUUAGUGCUGCAGCUAACGCAUUAAGCACUCCGCCUGGGGAGUACGGCCGCAAGGCUG
rnacentral:rRNA from 1 species